rnacentral:lncRNA from 1 species
AUACUUUAUGAAUAAAUUGUUUAGUUCAACUAGUUAUAUUGCAUAAUAGGAUAAAGGUAGUUGAAUUUUUUUUAUUUAACCCAAAUGAUCAAUAAGAAUGAAUAUAGAUGUAUACAUGCAUGUUUUAGAAAUUUCCAUUAUUUAUGGAAAUAAGUAGAAACUUGUUUCGAUUUUGUAUUCGUUGAAAUGCUGAGGGAUGAC